rnacentral:rRNA from 1 species
AACGAACGCUGGCGGCAUGCCUAACACAUGCAAGUCGAACGAGAUCUUCGGGUCUAGUGGCGCACGGGUGCGUAACGCGUGGGAAUCUGCCCUUUGGUUCGGAAUAACAGUUGGAAACGACUGCUAAUACCGGAUGAUGACGAAAGUCCAAAGAUUUAUCGCCAGAGGAUGAGCCCGCGUAGGAUUAGCUAGUUGGUGCGGUAAAGGCGCACCAAGGCGACGAUCCUUAGCUGGUCUGAGAGGAUGAUCAGCCACACUGGGACUGAGACACGGCCCAGACUCCUACGAGAGGCAGCAGUGGGGAAGAUUGGACAAUGGGCGAAAGCCUGAUCCAGCAAUGCCGCGUGAGUGAUGAAGGCCUUAGGGUUGUAACGCUCUUUUACCCGGGAUGAUAAUGACAGUACCGGGAGAAUAAGCUCCGGCUAACUCCGUGCCAGCCGCCGCGGUAA